rnacentral:rRNA from 1 species
AUGACUAUACUGCUGUUUUAUUUGAAUUAUUGCGGGAUGAUCCGCCGUUUCAGUCAGUGUCAGCACCAGCGGCAGCACGUGCCAAAUGACAAAAGGACCGCCACCCUGAUAUAUAAAACUAUCCAAUAUAUCGUUGCCGUUGCCGAGCAGCAGCAACGUCUUACGUGUCUGCAUUUAGCGUGCGGUACAGGUGAACAUAUGAAGACGAUCCAGUCUAUAUCUAACGUAGUCUAUCUUGGAGGAUUCUACAGAAAACAAAAAUAUAGGACUCGCAUCACCAACUACAUAAUAAACAGAGCCAGAGAGGGUGCAGGUGCGCUUGCGUCGCUACACUACACAGGCUGA